rnacentral:rRNA from 1 species
UACGUAGGGUGCAAGCGUUAAUCGGAAUUACUGGGCGUAAAGCGUGCGCAGGCGGCUUUGCAAGACAGAUGUGAAAUCCCCGGGCUCAACCUGGGAACUGCAUUUGUGACUGCAUAGCUAGGGUGCGGAAGAAGGAAGCGGAAUUUCCGGUGUAGCGGUGAAAUGCGUGGAUAUCGGAAGGAACAUCAGUGGCGAAAGCGGCUUCCUGGUCCAGCACCGACGUUCAGGCACGAAAGCGUGGGGAGCAAACAGG